AACGAACGCUGGCGGCAGGCUUAACACAUGCAAGUCGAACGGGCGCCUUCGGGCGUCAGUGGCAGACGGGUGAGUAACGCGUGGGAACGUACCUUUCGGUUCGGAAUAACCCAGGGAAACUUGGACUAAUACCGGAUGCGCCGGAAACGGGAAAGAUUUAUCGCCGAAAGAUCGGCCCGCGUCGGAUUAGCUAGUUGGUGGGGUAAUGGCCUACCAAGGCGACGAUCCGUAGCUGGUCUGAGAGGAUGAUCAGCCACACUGGGACUGAGACACGGCCCAGACUCCUACGGGAGGCAGCAGUGGGGAAUAUUGGACAAUGGGCGAAAGCCUGAUCCAGCCAUGCCGCGUGAGUGAAGAAGGCCUUAGGGUUGUAAAGCUCUUUCGUUGGGAAGAUAAUGACGGUACCCAAAGAAGAAGCCCCGGCUAACUUCGUGCCAGCCGCCGCGGUAAU
rnacentral:rRNA from 1 species